rnacentral:rRNA from 1 species
GAUGAACGCUGGCGGCGUGCUUAACACAUGCAAGUCGACCGGAAAGGCCCUGCUUUUGUGGGGUGCUCGAGUGGCGAACGGGUGAGUAACACGUGAGUAACCUGCAACUGACUUUAGGAUAACCUCAGGCAACUGGGGCUAAUACUGGAUAGGAGCACCUGCUGCAUGGCGGUGGUCGGAAAGAUACAGCGGUUGGGGAUGGACUCGCGGCUUAUCAGCUUGUUGGCGGGGAAGUGGCUUACCAAGGCUGUGACGGGUAGCCGGCCUGAGAGGGUGACCGGCCACAUUGGGACUUGGAUACGGCCCAGACUCCUACGGGAGGCAGCAGGGGGGAAUAUUGCACAAUGGGCGGAAGCCUGAGGCAGCGACGCCGUGUGCGGGAGAACGGCCUUCGGGGUGUAAACCGCUUUCGCCGUUGACGAGGCGAGAGUGACGGUAAUGGGUAAAGAAGCAACAGCUAACUACGUG